rnacentral:rRNA from 1 species
GGUCGGUUUACAGGUGGUGCAUGGCUGUCGUCAGCUCGUGUCGUGAUAAGUCCCGCAACGAGCGCAACCCUCGUCCAAUGUUGCCAGCGGGUUAUGCCGGGGACUCAUUGGAGACCGCCGGGGUCAACUCGGAGGAAGGUGGGGAUGACGUCAAGUCAUCAUGCCCCUUAUGUCCAGGGCUUCACGCAUGCUACAAUGGCCGGUACAAAGAGCUGCGAGCCUGUGAGGGUGAGCGAAGAGUUUGAUCCUGGCUCAGUUCCGAUUGGAGUCUGCAAUUCGACUCCAUGAAGACGGAAUCGCUAGUAAUGGCGGAUCAGCUACGCCGCCGUGAAUACGUUCCCGGGCCUUGUACACACCGCCCGUCAAGUCAUGAAAGUCGGUAACACCCGAAGCCGGUGGCCUAACCCGUUGAGGUCUAAGGUAAAACCGGUGACUGGCGCUAAGUCGUAACAAGGUAACC